CCUGUGGCCUCACAGGGACGGAAACCUCUCAGAGCCUGAGUGGUCUUGUCACUGUUGCCUUUUGUGGUAGGCUGAAUGACGGCCUUCCAAAGAUGUCCAUGUCCUAACCCCCAGAACCGGGGGAACCUGGAAGAUGUUAAUUUACCAAGGAAGAGGGACUCUGCUGAUGGCAGUAAGUUAAAGAUCUUGAGAUGGGAGAUAAUCAUGGAUUGUCUGCAUGGGCCGAUGAUAUACUCACAAGGCUCUUCAUAAGAGGGAGGCCACAGGGUCAGAGACAGUAGCAGGAGAUGUGACAGGAAGCCAGAUGGAGGAGCGAUGUGAGGAAGGGCCCAGGAGCCAAGAAAUUCAGGCGGCCUCAGAAGCUGGAAAAGGCAAGAAAACAGAUUCUCCCCUGAAGGCUGCCAAAGGAACACAGCUCUGCUGACACCUUGAUUUUAUGGGCUUCUGACCUCCAGAACUAUAAGAGAAUAUAUUUGUGGUGUCUACACCGCUAAGUUCGGUAAUUUACUGCGGAAGCAAUAGGAAACGCACUCUCUGUUCAUGCCAUGACCAUUCCCACUGCUGCUCUUUUGCCCAGGCUGUUACCCUCACCUGAAAUGUCCUUUUCCUUGUCCCUCCACUUUUCUAAAUCUUACUUUCACACUCAAGUCCCAUCUAACACCUACGGCGGAUAAAUUGUUUGCCACAGAAUCAAGAGAGCCCUUGACCACACUCCGACAAGUAUUGCUCAGUGAUUCAUUGGCUCCUCAAAUAUUUGUCCAACAUCUUCUAGGUGCUGGAGACUCACGCCUUCAAGAGGCUCAUGGUCUAAGAAAGGAGGCAACAAGAGACUCAUUCCUUCAGCUAUGAGAGGACUGUUUCUACUGUGGGAGUGCUUCAUUGCCAUGGCGCUUGUGACAAUGACAGAGUUGCUGACGAGCCUGGAGUGGACUGAUUUGAGCUGGUUCAUGGCCCAUUCAUCAUUUGUUUAACAGGUGUUUGUGAAGCACCUGCUCUGUGUGGAACACUGCACACAGUUGGCUGCCGGCUCAGCCCCCGAAUUGCUUGCUGUCUUCUCUCAGACUUUCAUGUCUCCUACAUCUCAGCGAAUUUCAG
rnacentral:lncRNA from 1 species